rnacentral:rRNA from 1 species
AUUGAACGCUGGCGGCAGGCCUAACACAUGCAAGUCGAGCGGAUGAAGGGAGCUUGCUCCUGGAUUCAGCGGCGGACGGGCGAGUAAUGCCUAGGAAUCUGCCUGGUAGCGGGGGAUAACGUCCGGAAACGGGCGCUAAUACCGCAUACGUCCUGAGGGAGAAAGUGGGGGAUCUUCGGACCUCACGCCAUCAGAUGAGCCUAGGUCGGAUUAGCUAGUUGGUGGGGUAAAGGCCUACCCAGGCGACGAUCCGUAACUGGUCUGAGAGGAUGAUCAGUCACACUAGAACUGAGACACGGUCCAGACUCCUACGGGAGGCAGCAGUGGGGAAUAUUGGACAAUGGGCGAAAGCCUGAUCCAGCCAUGCCGCGUGUGUGAAGAAGGUCUUCGGAUUGUAAAGCACGUUAAGUUGGGAGGAAGGGCAGUAAGUUAAUACCUUGCUGUUUUGACGUUACCAACAGAAUAAGCACCGGCUAACUUCGUG